CUUUGGGGUCUCCUGCACAGCAAACAAGUCAUUCAACCUUCAUUCUGCAACAUACCUUGCGCCCUGUUCUUUUAUAAGCAGAGAACAGAGACAUCAAUUCAAAGAAGUCAGACGCUAUACAGAAGACCUCACAGCCCCACACACCCUUCUAAUCCUCACUGGGAAUAUGAGAUCACACCUGGUCUGUGCCCUCUCCAAGGUGUGAAGGAAUAACCAACAGUACAGAAAGGUUAAUGACUUUCUCUGCUCUAUCCAGCUCCACUACUUACAAGGACACUGAAUGGGUCAGAGUGCAAGCUUUGUCAUACAUCACCAGCAGAUCCAUAGAAGGAAAUCGAG